CUGGUUGAUCCUACCAGUGAUAUACGCUCGUCUCAAAGGUUAAGCCAUGCAUGUCUAAGUACAAGCUUCCUAGAAAGUGAAACCGCAUAAGGCUCAGUAUAACAGCUAUAAUUUACAAGAUCCUCAUCCAAACAGUUACUUGGAUAACUGUGGAAAAGCCAGAGCUAAUACAUGCAUUAUGCCGGGACUGUUGGCCUCCGGGUCGGCGGAACUGGUGCACUUAUUAGUUAAACCAAUCGCCUCCGGGCGCUUUGAGUUGAAAUCUGGAUAAGGAUGCCGAUCGUACGGUCGCUUGCGACUGACGACAGAUCUUUCAAAUGUCUGCCCUAUCAACUAUUGAUGGUAGUGUAGAGGACUACCAUGGUUGCGACGGGUAACGGAGAAUCAGGGUUCGAUUCCGGAGAGGGAGCCUGAGAAAUGGCUACCACAUCCAAGGAAGGCAGCAGGCGCGUAAAUUACCCAAUCCCGGCACGGGGAGGUAGUGACGAGAAAUAACAAUAUGGACCUCUCUAACGAUGGUCCAUAAUUGGAAUGAGUUGAGCAUAAAUCCUUUUGCAAGGAUCAAGUGGAGGGCAAGUCUGGUGCCAGCAGCCGCGGUAAUUCCAGCUCCACUAGCGUAUAUU
rnacentral:rRNA from 1 species